rnacentral:rRNA from 1 species
UGAGGAAUUUUGGGCAAUGGGCGAAAGCCUGACCCAGCAAUGCCGCGUGAACGAUGAAGUCCUUCGGGAUGUAAAGUUCGUAAGCAGGAGAAGAACACAAUGACGGUAUCCUGUGUAAGCCCCGGCUAACUACGUGCCAGCAGCCGCGGUAAUACGUAGGGGGCAAGCGUUGUUCGGAUUUACUGGGCGUAAAGGGCGCGUAGGCGGCGCGUAAAGUCGGACGUGAAAUCACUGGGCUUAACCUAGUGGCUGUGUCCGAUACUUGCGUGCUUUGAGUGCGGGAGAGGCAAUCGGAAUUCUCGGUGUAGCGGUGAAAUGCGUAGAUAUCGAGAGGAACUCCGGUGACGAAGGUGGGUUGCUGGACCGACACUGACGCUGAGGCGCGAAAGCUAGGGGAGCAAACGGGAUUAGAUACCCCGGUAGUCCUAGCCCUAAACGAUGAAUACUUGGUGUGCGGGUUUCUUAGUACCCGCGUGCCGUAGCUAACGCGAUAAGUAUCCGCCUGGGAGA